rnacentral:rRNA from 1 species
UACAUGGGGUGCAAACGUUGCUCGGAAUUAUUGGGCGUAAAGCGCGCGUAGGCGGUUACUCAAGUCGGAUGUGAAAGCCCUCGGCUUAACUGAGGAAGUGCACCCGAAACUGAGUAGCUAGAGUACCAAAGAGGGUCGCGGAAUUCCUGGUGUAGCGGUGAAAUGCGCAGAUAUCAGGAGGAACACCGGUGGCGAAGGCGGUGGUCUGGGCCGGAACUGACGCUGAUGAGCGAAAGCGUGGGUAGCGAACAGG